GAGUGGAAAAAAUAAAGACAACUGUUGCAAAUUUCAUUUUAAUUUUUUAAUAUUCUUUGUUCUUUUGU
rnacentral:ribozyme from 11 species